rnacentral:lncRNA from 1 species
CUAAAGACUCAGGGGAUUUCUUAUUUUGUUAUUAGAAGGGAGCAAAGCUAUUGUUUUAAGUAUGACAAAAGCCCACAUCUGCUCUUGUGCAAGUUACUCCUGGCUGCAUCAGGCUUUCUAAGCAUUGACUGUGGAUGUGCGUGCAGCCGCACCCUCUCCUGGAAUUCCUAUUGGUCUCCUCCUUGUCCUAAGCUGCUGCUCAGAAGCUCACCGUAAAGGAAACUAUGUUGCUGCCAUUUGACGUCAAAGCGCAUCGAUAACUGAUUCAGUAAUUGGCAACUACUCCUCUAUCAAUGUGUAUGCACAUGGAGACUUGGACUGUCAGAUAAGGGCAGAACGCCAACAACCAAGGCAAGAAGAAUGUGAAAAAGGAUUCAGUAUGUUCAAGAACCCCAAGCCUGAAUCGGAGAUGAGAAAGUGACCACAUCAAAAUGGAGAGAAAAGUAAAAGGUGAG